CUAUAACUAGGUACCCUUGAUAGGCAAUAUUUCCCCACCCUUAAGCACUAAGGCCAGGGGUUUAAACAAACAGAACUCAUGGGAGUGGAGGGAGAACAGAAUAAACUUGGGAAAGCCAGGAAUUAAUCAAUCAAUGUCUAACCGCAGUCCUCCUCAUGCAGCUGUGAGUAGCUGAUGUGUUCUAGCUACUUUCCUACCACCACAUCUUCCCACUGACUUGUUGUCCUGGGUUGGAGUUCAAGGAUCCUGGCAGGUCAGUCUCUAGUCCCUAAGGUACCGAAGCCAGACAAGACGGUGAGGGCAGGUGCACGGGAAAGCAAGGGAAAUCUUUCAGAGGUUGCACACCUAGAACAGGCUGACCUCCUGCAUUGCACAGGCCAGAGAUCCUCACUUAGUAAUUCCUGCAUCAAGCCCAUAACUUCUCGUGGAGUUAAAGCAGAUCUUUUAGAAAGGCAACUAAUAGAUAUCCUGAAGCAAUGGGGAGCCUCAGGAUUCCAUCUGGCUUCCUCCUUUGAUGUCGGCUGUUUCUGUUCCAGGGAAUAGAACAGGUUCUUCCAGACAUUAUGGAGAAACAAAGGAAGCCAUCCAGAUACUCAAGACUCCAUGGAAUUAUCAGGAUGUAUUUCCAACCUCUGUGAAUUCAUAUAAUGAUCAUGUGAAUCCAUGGCUGUCUUUGUGUAUAACAACGCACUGCAGUGAGUUAUCAAAAGCUAGAGAAAUGCCACAGCUUCACGCCAUUGCGUGCUAUUGCCUUUCUUUUCACGUCAGCAAAAAGAACCAUUCUCAGCCAACCCUUGCCCUGGCAUGCGAUGCGCUUACCUGUGAUUUAUUGAUGAUAAUCUUGGGGAAAGCCAUUUGUAAUCGAACAUACAACAAAGACAUUCUCGUGCUGAGUGGGACUGAUAACGCACCGUUUAGUAAUUUUUGUGCAGUCAGUAAUUUGGAGAAUGAAUGAUAAUUUCUAGGCCUGAAAAUCUGCAAUGACAACUCUUAGUGUUAUUCACCUCAUGAAUAAA